rnacentral:rRNA from 1 species
AUUGAACGCUGGCGGCAUGCUUUACACAUGCAAGUCGAACGGCAGCGCGGGCUUCGGCCUGGCGGCGAGUGGCGAACGGGUGAGUAAUACAUCGGAACGUGCCCAGUAGUGGGGGAUAGCUCGGCGAAAGCCGGAUUAAUACCGCAUACUACCUGAGGGUGAAAGCGGGGGAUCUUCGGACCUCUCGCUAUUGGAGCGGCCGAUGGCAGAUUAGCUAGUUGGUGGGGUAAAGGCCUACCAAGGCGACGAUCUGUAGCUGGUCUGAGAGGACGACCAGCCACACUGGGACUGAGACACGGCCCAGACUCCUACGGGAGGCAGCAGUGGGGAAUUUUGGACAAUGGGCGAAAGCCUGAUCCAGCAAUGCCGCGUGUGUGAUGAAGGCCUUCGGGUUGUAAAGCACUUUUGGCGGGAACGAAAAGGACUGUGCCAAUACCACGGUUCGAUGACGGUACCCGCAGAAUAAGCACCGGCUAACUACGUG